rnacentral:rRNA from 1 species
GACGAACCGUGCAAACGUUGUUCGGAAUCACUGGGCAUAAAGGGCGCGUAGGCGGCUUAUCAAGUCAGGGGUGAAAUCCGGCAGCUCAACUGUCGAAGUGCCUUUGAUACUGAUGAGCUCGAGGGAGGUAGGGGUCUGUGGAACUUCCGGUGGAGCGGUGAAAUGCGUUGAUAUCGGAAGGAACGCCGGUGGCGAAAGCGACGGACUGGAUCUCUUCUGACGCUGAGGCGCGAAAGCUAGGGGAGCAAACGGGG